CAACCUUAUGGCCUACGACUUCCAUGGCUCUUGGGAGAAGGUCACGGGACAUAACAGCCCCCUCUACAAGAGGCAAGAGGAGAGUGGUGCAGCAGCCAGCCUCAACGUGGAUGCUGCUGUGCAACUGUGGCUGCAGAAGGGGACCCCUGCCAGCAAGCUGAUCCUUGGCAUGCCUACCUACGGACGCUCCUUCACCCUGGCCUCCUCAUCAGACACCAGAGUGGGGGCCCCAGCCACAGGGUCUGGCACUCCCGGCCCCUUCACCAAGGAAGGAGGGAUGCUGGCCUACUAUGAGGUAGGAAAACCCAUAACCACCCUGGGUAUUGUGGGGGUCAGGGGUGCCUGAGAGAGCAGAGGUUUCCUUCUCCCACUGUUUCUGAGUAA
rnacentral:sRNA from 1 species